ensembl:snoRNA
GCUGGUGUGGGUGAUGACAGUUUUUUCCCCGUCAGAGCGACAGUGUUGAUCUUUCGUUGUUCAAGCCAGAUCAUGUCUGAUGCACCAGC